rnacentral:rRNA from 2 species
AGAGUUUGAUCAUGGCUCAGAUUGAACGCUGGCGGCAGGCCUAACACAUGCAAGUCGAACGGUAACAGGAAUCAGCUUGCUGAUUCGCUGACGAGUGGCGGACGGGUGAGUAAUGUCUGGGAAACUGCCUGAUGGAGGGGGAUAACUACUGGAAACGGUAGCUAAUACCGCAUAAUGUCGCAAGACCAAAGAGGGGGACCUUCGGGCCUCUUGCCAUCGGAUGUGCCCAGAUGGGAUUAGCUUGUUGGUGGGGUAACGGCUCACCAAGGCGACGAUCCCUAGCUGGUCUGAGAGGAUGACCAGCCACACUGGAACUGAGACACGGUCCAGACUCCUACGGGAGGCAGCAGUGGGGAAUAUUGCACAAUGGGCGCAAGCCUGAUGCAGCCAUGCCGCGUGUAUGAAGAAGGCCUUCGGGUUGUAAAGUACUUUCAGCGGGGAGGAAGGGAGUAAAGUUAAUACCUUUGCUCAUUGACGUUACCCGCAGAAGAAGCACCGGCUAACUCCGUGCCAGCAGCCGCGGUAAUACGGAGGGUGCAAGCGUUAAUCGGAAUUACUGGGCGUAAAGCGCACGCAGGCGGUUUGUUAAGUCAGAUGUGAAAUCCCCGGGCUCAACCUGGGAACUGCAUCUGAUACUGGCAAGCUUGAGUCUCGUAGAGGGGGGUAGAAUUCCAGGUGUAGCGGUGAAAUGCGUAGAGAUCUGGAGGAAUACCGGUGGCGAAGGCGGCCCCCUGGACGAAGACUGACGCUCAGGUGCGAAAGCGUGGGGAGCAAACAGGAUUAGAUACCCUGGUAGUCCACGCCGUAAACGAUGUCGACUUGGAGGUUGUGCCCUUGAGGCGUGGCUUCCGGAGCUAACGCGUUAAGUCGACCGCCUGGGGAGUACGGCCGCAAGGUUAAAACUCAAAUGAAUUGACGGGGGCCCGCACAAGCGGUGGAGCAUGUGGUUUAAUUCGAUGCAACGCGAAGAACCUUACCUGGUCUUGACAUCCACGGAAGUUUUCAGAGAUGAGAAUGUGCCUUCGGGAACCGUGAGACAGGUGCUGCAUGGCUGUCGUCAGCUCGUGUUGUGAAAUGUUGGGUUAAGUCCCGCAACGAGCGCAACCCUUAUCCUUUGUUGCCAGCGGUCCGGCCGGGAACUCAAAGGAGACUGCCAGUGAUAAACUGGAGGAAGGUGGGGACGACGUCAAGUCAUCAUGGCCCUUACGACCAGGGCUACACACGUGCUACAAUGGCGCAUACAAAGAGAAGCGACCUCGCGAGAGCAAGCGGACCUCAUAAAGUGCGUCGUAGUCCGGAUUGGAGUCUGCAACUCGACUCCAUGAAGUCGGAAUCGCUAGUAAUCGUGGAUCAGAAUGCCACGGUGAAUACGUUCCCGGGCCUUGUACACACCGCCCGUCACACCAUGGGAGUGGGUUGCAAAAGAAGUAGGUAGCUUAACCUUCGGGAGGGCGCUUACCACUUUGUGAUUCAUGACUGGGGUGAAGUCGUAACAAGGUAACCGUAGGGGAACCUGCGGUUG